rnacentral:rRNA from 1 species
GAUGAACGCUGGCGGCGUGCCUAAUACAUGCAAGUCGAGCGAACAGAUGAGAAGCUUGCUUCUCUGAUGUUAGCGGCGGACGGGUGAGUAACACGUGGGUAACCUACCUAUAAGACUGGGAUAACUCCGGGAAACCGGGGCUAAUACCGGAUAAUAUUUUGAACCGCAUGGUUCAAUAGUGUAAGACGGUUUCGGCUGUCACUUAUAGAUGGACCCGCGCCGUAUUAGCUAGUUGGUAAGGUAACGGCUUACCAAGGCGACGAUACGUAGGCGACCUGAGAGGGUGAUCGGCCACACUGGAACUGAGACACGGUCCAGACUCCUACGGGAGGCAGCAGUAGGGAAUCUUCCGCAAUGGGCGAAAGCCUGACGGAGCAACGCCGCGUGAGUGAUGAAGGUCUUCGGAUCGUAAAACUCUGUUGUUAGGGAAGAACAAAUUUGUUAGUAACUGAACAAGUCUUGACGGUACCUAACCAGAAAGCCACGGCUAACUACGUGCCAGCAGCCGCGGUAA